GGAAUUUUGGACAAUGGGCGCAAGCCUGAUCCAGCAACGAUGCGUGGAGGAUGAAGGUUCUCGGAUUGUAAACUCCUUUUGUAAGGGAAGAAAAAAAUGACGGUACCUUACGAAUAAGCCACGGCUAACUACGUGCCAGCAGCCGCGGUAAGACGUAGGUGGCAAGCGUUACUCGGAAUUACUAGGCGUAAAGCGCGCGUAGGCGGAAUGUUAAGUCUGUUGUGUAAUCUCUGGGCUCAACCCAGAAACUGCAACGGAAACUGGCGUUCUUGAGUGAGGCAGAGGAGAUCGGAAUUCCUAGUGUAGCAGUGAAAUGCGUAGAUAUUAGGAGGAACACCGGUGGCGAAGGCGGAUCUCUGGGCCUUUACUGACGCUCAAGUGCGAAAGCUAGGGGAGCAAACG
rnacentral:rRNA from 1 species